CAAACUAUGGUUCGAGAAUUAGGUCAGACACAAAGUGGGGGGGUUUUGUGAAAGCUUUGUGAAUGUGGGUGAAUUAAAUCAAAAGACGGAUGCAAACAGAAAUGUAUAACUCAAAUGCAGAUAGAAACAAAAUUGGAAUCAAAUACAGAAUAAAAACGGUUGGUCAUUAACUCAAUUACUAUGCUUCCUAUCCCAGAUCAACGACCAGUACACACUACUCUAAUCCAAAUCUGACAUGAACCACCUAACUAAGCGAAGGCUAAUUCGGUCUUCAAAAUUGCAAACUAAUUGAAUGCAAUGCAUAAGUUCAAUCAGUCAUGCACCAUACAGUCUAAUCAACUGAGCGAAGAUUAAACACCGAUUAGGCAACUAAGCGUAUACCCAAUCGCAAGCACACAACAGAUUAAAUAUUGACACAAAAUCAAGACGCAAAACAGGGAACAGUUCAACAGACAUCAAGGAAGAGACACAGACUUAACACACAUAAAGCAGAGACUCACAAGGAAACAAACAAAUAGAAUUACAGUCCUCUAGAAAUCUGGACGAUGAAAGGAAGUGGACAGUAUCCCACACAGAGUCAAGGAAAGCAGAUACUCAUGAAAUCAUCCAAGCAGUUCAAAGCAUGACAAAAUGAUCAAUUCGCUCGAGAGGUGAAUCAAAAGCAACAGAACCUCAUAGAUGCAUACUAUCACUGUUUCUCU
rnacentral:lncRNA from 1 species